rnacentral:rRNA from 1 species
UACGUAGGGUGCAAGCGUUUGUCCGGAAUUAUUGGGCGUAAAGAGCUCGUAGGCGGCUUGUCGCGUCGGAUGUGAAAGCCCGGGGCUUAACCCCGGGUCUGCAUUCGAUACGGGCAGGCUAGAGUUCGGUAGGGGAGAUCGGAAUUCCUGGUGUAGCGGUGAAAUGCGCAGAUAUCAGGAGGAACACCGGUGGCGAAGGCGGAUCUCUGGGCCGAUACUGACGCUGAGGAGCGAAAGCGUGGGGAGCGAACAGG